rnacentral:misc_RNA from 1 species
AGUCAUGAGCAGAAAAACCACCACCGUCACGACGACCAUCACACUUCUCUGCGAUCAUAUACUCCAAUUUCUCCCCUCUCUUAACCCCAAAAAGCUCCAUAUUGAACAGGUUAGUUCUCUCUUCUUCGCCAAAUCUCCACUCUCAGAUGAGCAAGCUAGGGUUUACUUUCUUUUUUCCUUUUCUGUCCUUUCUCUCUAUGCUCUGGAUCUCUCUGUCCUCUGUUCUUUCUCUAUGCUAAUAUCUGAAGUAAUACUGAGUUUUGCAGGCGUUAUCAUCAGUACUUUAGGAUUGGGCUUGGACCUUAAACAACAUGAAUUACCUUAUUGGAGCUUUCAAGCCAGCCUGUAAUAUCUCCAUCACAUUUACUGAUGGGAAAACUCGUAAGCAGGUUCCGAUGAAGAAGGAAAAUGGUCAGACUGUUAUGGUUCCACUUUUCCAAAGUCAAGAAAAUAUUGCUGGAAAGAUUUCAAUAGAGCCACUUCAAGGGAAGAGGGUUGAACACAAUGGCAUCAAAGUUGAGCUUCUUGGUCAAAUUGAGAUGUAUUUUGACAGAGGCAAUUUUUAUGACUUUACUUCCCUUGUACGUGAAUUGGAUAUUCCUGGAGAAAUAUAUGAAAGAAAAACAUACCCAUUUGAGUUUUCUACAGUAGAAAUGCCUUACGAGACAUAUAACGGGGUGAAUGUGAGGCUUAGGUAUGUUUUGAAAGUGACCAUCAGUCGUGGUUAUGCAGGAAGCAUCAUUGAAUACCAGGACUUUAUGGUUUGCAACUAUUCUCCACCUCCAUCAAUCAACAAUAGCAUCAAGAUGGAAGUCGGAAUUGAAGAUUGCCUACAUAUUGAGUUUGAGUACAAUAAAAGCAAGUACCAUCUCAAAGAUGUGAUCAUUGGCAAGAUAUAUUUUCUUCUUGUAAGAAUCAAGAUAAAGAAUAUGGAUCUUGAGAUAAGGCGCCGAGAAUCAACAGGAGCAGGGGCCAAUACACAUGUUGAAACAGAGACACUAGCAAAAUUUGAGUUGAUGGACGGAGCUCCAGUCAGAGGUGAAUCAAUUCCAAUCAGACUCUUCCUUAGCCCUUAUGAACUGACACCAACACACCGCAACAUUAACAACAAAUUCAGUGUGAAGUAUUAUUUAAACCUUGUCCUGGUUGAUGAAGAGGAUCGACGCUACUUUAAGCAGCAAGAAAUUACAAUAUACAGGUUGCAGGACAAUUCCUGAUUAAGCAUAUCAUCCCAUUCCCAUGAGAAGAGUCUAGAAGAUAACUGCAUUGUGACACAUUGUAAAAUCUUAAAGAUUAAAGAUUUAAAUUGUUGGAGCAAGGGUCCUGUUUCUUGGAUCGGUCUCGAAUGUCUUUGUAUACUUGCACAGUCAUUGCCUUGACUGUACAACUGCUGAAAUUAUGUAAAUUCGCAAAGUAUGGGUUGUGAAAGAUCUGGAUUUUCUUUUACGAUUAAACAGCUGAUUACGACUUGCCAUUGCCACGUAUGCCUGCUGUCCCAGCAAGGCUACGACUUGUUUUCAGCUUUAAGACAUGAUUACAGUUUUUACCUGUUUUUAUUGCCCAUCUGAUAUUUUUCAUGUUGUCCUGGAUUUUCUUUGUCCCAGAAACUUGUCAUGAAUUGAGAUAUGCAAAUCAAUUGCCAAAUAAUGCGC